UACGGAGGAUCCAAGCGUUAUCCGGAUUCAUUGGGUUUAAAGGGUGCGUAGGCGGAAUAGUAAGUCAGUGGUGAAAGCCUGUUGCUUAACAACAGAACUGCCAUUGAUACUGCUAAUCUUGAGUACAUUUGAUGUGGGCGGAAUGUGUCGUGUAGCGGUGAAAUGCUUAGAUAUGACACAGAACACCGAUUGCGAAGGCAGCUCACAAAACUGUUACUGACGCUGAGGCACGAAAGCGUGGGGAUCGAACAGG
rnacentral:rRNA from 3 species